GAUUAAAAAGUUUGUUUUGUUUCGUUGUCGUCAAACUACGGUGAUUGUUACGAGCACCUGGAAUGAUAUCGUCAUUUAACGUGAUAAAGUUUAGCAAUUCUUUGCUUUAAAUUUUCAGUGAAACCGUCAAAAAAAUGCCUGGGCAUACGAUUCGUUAAGUUCGUUAGAUUUUCGUCGAGUUUGUGUUUUGUUUACAAAUUGACAAACAGCACAAAUCGUGCGCUCGACAGUGACGGUGAUAAAGUUGUUCAAUGGGCCCCCGGUGAUUGUUUCUUCCGUUUUUUCGAGACGGCAGUCAAGUUGCGUUACUGUUAUCGAUAUAAGGACAAUUGUGCACAGUUAGAAUCUUUCCAAAAUCGAAUGGGUCCCAAACUUGAACAAGUUCCGAACUGCGACAGGUUAAAAGCACCACCGGCUGCGUCUACAUCAAACGUUAUGAUGGAUCAUUUGAGGAAAGUAUCAACAUUGGAAUAUGACGAUCCGAAUGAUCAGCUCCCGGUUGAACCAAAUUUUUUGCCGAAAUAAUCCAGGCUCUAAAUAUUCCUUCAAUCAAAGUGGUUGGAUUGAAAAGUGAUUUUAAAUAUGUCGACUUAAGAUUCCGCAUCACUGACGGAAAUAACAUGAAAGCAGCUGAUGUCAAAACGAAAGUGUCACAAUAAGCAUGGAUUGCGACGUUUAUGUAUCAAGUUUGAUCCGAAAUCGAGUCUUAACGUCCUACAUUGAAGAAAACAUGUUGGUGUGCAAUUGUUUGUUAAUUAUAAGUACCAUUAAGUUAUCGUGAAAAUUCUUUUAUUCGUUAUUAGAUGGAAUACAGUAAAAAAAAAGAUUUGUCAAAUAAACUGCAA